GUCCGCUUCGUGAAAAACACCCCGGUUUCAGGAACCCUUUUCGCUAUCGGCUCCGGAAUCACGAAAUGGGCGAUACUAGACAACACCUCGCCGCUUCUGUCCCCUUCAGUGGAUUAUAGAUAGCAAAAUAUUUGAGGUGGCAUGGGCCACCGGUUUCGAGAUCAAUUUCUCAUCGUUGCAGGGAGAAACGCACAAAAGAUGGCGCCUCGUUCGUCUCCCUUGGAUUUGAGCCUCUGACAAAUACAGCUGCAGCGAGCCUGUAGGCGGGAGACAUGCUCACGCGCGCCGCUAGAGGGAGCCGCGAACACACUGACGUUAACGCGGAUUGUGUUUAGGAAAAACAUGAGGCUCUUUUCAGCUCACUGACAUUGUGUCACACGAACAAAGAAAAAUGCCAGAAGAAGUUCCUGCUCAGUGCAAGGCUCCCAAAGAUGAGCUGGACAAAUGUGUUCAGGGGAAGGGUGCAGAGGGCUGUAAGGAGCUGCUGGAAGCUUUUGAGGCCUGUAUGAAGGGGACCAUGGCAGCCACGUGAGGGAACAUGGAUUUACAUGUCCUUCCUUUCUUGGUCCUCCAGUGCCCUUGCAUUCCCUCACUUGCACUGGACUAAACCAUUCUGAGGACAGUGAAAGGGGUGCAAGAGCUGGAGAGCAGUGGAAUUGUUUAUUUUGAUCCUGGGAAGUCUCUGUUGGUUUACCUCAUGUUAUUUGUAGCAGUGGAAGAAAUAAGAAAACGUUUUAUUAUUAUUAUUUUUAUUAUUAUUGUUUUCCAGAUUUCACACUGUAAUUAAACAGUGCAUUUCGUUUGUUUUUCAAUAAAUCAAUAACCAUGACAAUUAA